UUCGGGUGCAAGUAGAGUGGCGUAAGGGCGAGGAAUACGUUCCUACGUACCCCAAGGUCGAGGAUAGCUCGGAGAAAUCCGGGGUAAUACUCGAUGUGGUGCUUCGGCAUCAAAGGCUUGCCGCCUUGGGAGCGGGGAAAGCCCUAUCAGGUUGUUGGUGAGGUAACGGCUCACCAAGCCUAAGACGGGUAGCGGGUGUGAGAGCAUGACCCGCCGCAUCGGGACUGAGACACUGCCCGGACUCCUACGGGAGGCUGCAGUAACGAAUAUUCCGCAAUGCGCGAAAGCGUGACGGAGCAAUGCCGCGUGUGGGAUGAAGCUCCUAGGAGUGUAAACCACUGUCAGAGUUUAGGAAAACAAUGACCAGACUCAAAGGAAGGGCCGGCUAACUUCGUGCCAGCAGCCGCGGUAAUACGAAGGGCCCGAGCGUUAAUCGGAAUCACUGGGCUUAAAGCGUGUGUAGGCGGACAUGUAGGCAUCUUGUGAAAUCCCUCGGCUCAACCGAGGAACUGCAGGGUGAACCAUGUGUCUUGAGACAGGUAGGGGUGGUCGGAACGGUAGGUGGAGUGGUGAAAUGCGUUGAUAUCUACCGGAACGCCAAAGGAGAAGUCAGGCCACUGGGCCUGUCCUGACGCUGAGGCACGAAAGCGUGGGUAGCGAACGGGAUUAGAUACCCCGGUAGUCCACGCCGUAAACGAUGUGCACUAGGUUGGGGAGGUUUUGACGCCAUUCCCGGCCGAAGCAAAAGUGUUAAGUGCACCGCCUGGGGAGUACGGUCGCAAGGCUAAAACUCAAAGGAAUUGACGGGGGCUCACACAAGCGGUGGAGCAUGUGGCUUAAUUCGAAGCAACGCGAAGAACCUUAUCCUGGGUUUGACAUGUAUGGAUUAACUCCCCGAAAAGGGAGCCACACCUUCGGGUGGAACGUGAACAGGUGCUGCAUGGCUGUCGUCAGCUCGUGCUGUGAAGUGUCGGGUUAAGUCCCUUAACGAGCGCAACCCCUGGCGUUAGUUGCUAGCAGGUAAUGCGGAGGACUCUAACGAGACUGCCGGCGUUAAACCG
rnacentral:rRNA from 1 species